rfam:Xenopus laevis strain J chromosome 2S, whole genome shotgun sequence.
UCUUGCUGUGAUGACACACUUGCCCUCACUGAACUGUGGUUCUGUGAUGAGAGCAAUAUCGUACUCAAAUCAAUCUGAGCUUGA